rnacentral:rRNA from 1 species
UACGUAGGGUGCAAGCGUUAAUCGGAAUUACUGGGCGUAAAGCGUGCGCAGGCGGUUAUGUAAGACAGAGGUGAAAACCCCGGGCUCAACCUGGGAACUGCCUUUGUGACUGCAUAGGUGGAGUACGGCAGAGGGGGAUGGAAUUCCGCGUGUAGCAGUGAAAUGCGUAGAUAUGCGGAGGAACACCGAUGGCGAAGGCAGUCCCCUGGGCCUGUACUGACGCUCAUGCACGAAAGCGUGUGGAGCAAACAGG